rnacentral:rRNA from 1 species
AGUGAACGCUGGCGGUAGGCCUAACACAUGCAAGUCGAACGGCAGCACAGUAAGAGCUUGCUCUUACGGGUGGCGAGUGGCGGACGGGUGAGGAAUACAUCGGAAUCUACUUUUUCGUGGGGGAUAACGUAGGGAAACUUACGCUAAUACCGCAUACGACCUACGGGUGAAAGCAGGGGAUCUUCGGACCUUGCGCGAUUGAAUGAGCCGAUGUCGGUUUAGCUAGUUGGCGGGGGAAAGGCCCACCAAGGCGACGAUCCGGAGCUGGUCUGAGAGGAUGAUCAACCAAACUGGAAAUGAGACAAGGUCCAGAAUCCUAAGGGAGGCAGUAGUGGGGAAUAUUGGACAAUGGGCGCAAGCCUGAUCCAGCCAUACCGCGUGGGUGAAGAAGGCCUUCGGGUUGUAAAGCCCUUUUGUUGGGAAAGAAAAGCAGCAGGUUAAUACCCCGCUGUUCUGACGGUACCCAAAGAAUAAGCACCGGCUAACUUCGUG